rnacentral:rRNA from 1 species
GAUGAACGCUGGCGGCGUGCUUAACACAUGCAAGUCGAACGGAAAGGCCCAAGCUUUCUUGGGUACUCGAGUGGCGAACGGGUGAGUAACACGUGGGUGAUCUGCCCUGCACUUCGGGAUAAGCCUGGGAAACUGGGUCUAAUACCGGAUAGGACGAUGGUUUGGAUGCCAUUGUGGAAAGUUUUUUCGGUGUUGGAUGAGCUCGCGGCCUAUCAGCUUGUUUGUGGGGUAAUGGCCUACCAAGGCGUCGACGGGUAGCCGGGCUGAGAGGGUGUACGGCCACAAUGGGACCGAGAUACGGCCCAGACUCCUACGGGGGGGAGGAGUGGGGAAUAAUGCAAAAUGGGGGCAAGCCUGAUGCAGCGAAGCCGCGUGGGGGAAGAAGGCCUUCGGGUUGUAAACUCCUUUCGGUAGGGACGAAGCGUUUUGUGACGGUACCUGGAGAAGAAGCACCGGCUAACUACGUG